GAAGCGGGAGAACGUGGAGGCCAGUCGUCCUAGAGCCACAGCCCCUCCGGAGCACCUGUCUGCAUGUGCUUUUACUCCCUCAGCCUGCAACGGUCAGAUCUGCCAUC